GACGUAGGGCGCGAGCGUUGUCCGGAUUAUUGGGCGUAAAGAGCUCGUAGGCGGCUUGUUGCGUCGACCGUGAAACCCGCGGCUUAACUGCGGGCUUGCGGUCGAUACGGGCGGGCUGGAGUUCGGUAGGGGAGACUGGAAUUCCUGGUGUAGCGGUGAAAUGCGCAGAUAUCAGGAGGAACACCGGUGGCGAAGGCGGGUCUCUGGGCCGAUACUGACGCUGAGGAGCGAAAGCGUGGGGAGCGAACAGG
rnacentral:rRNA from 1 species